AUUCCAGCUCCAAUAGCGUAUAUUAAAGUUGUUGCAGUUAAAAAGCUCGUAGUUGGAUUUCUGGCGUGGGGUGCUUGACCCGCCGCGGUUACGCGUGUGAGUGUCGGUGUGCCUCGGCCAUCCUUCUAGAAACUGGCUCUGCCCUUCAUUGGGUUGGGGUCAGGAUCUGGAUCUUUUACUUUGAAAAAAUUAGAGUGUUUAAAGCAAGCUUUGCGUGAAUACAUUAGCAUGGAAUAAUAAUUUAGGACUUCGGUUCUAUUUUGUUGGUUUCUAGGACUGAAGUAAUGAUUGAUAGGGAUAGUUGGGGGUGCUAGUAUUCAGCGGCCAGAGGUGAAAUUCUUGGAUUCGCUGAAGACUAACUUAUGCGAAAGCAUUCACCAAGGAUGUCUUCAUCA
rnacentral:rRNA from 1 species